CUCCCGAGUAGCUGGGACUACAGGCAUCUGCAACCACGCCCGGCUAAUUUUUUGUAUUUUUAGUAGAGACGGGGUUUCACCUUGUUAUCCAGGAUGGUCUCGAUCUCCUGGCCUCGUGAUCCGCCCGCCCUGGUCUCCCAAAGUGCUGGGAUUACAAGCGUGAGCCACCGCGCCCGGCCAAGUUAAGGAUUUUGAAAUGAGGAGAUUAUUUUAAAUAACUCAGGUGGGACCUAAAUGCCAUCAUAAAUAUCCUCAUAAGAGAGGCAGAGAAAUUAGAUGUACAGAAGUGAAGCAGGUCAUGUGAAGAUGGAGGCAGAGAUUGGUAUAAUACAACCCCAAACCCCAAGGAAUGACCGAAUCUACCAGAAGCUGGGAAAUACAAGCCUAAUCAACAUUAAGAUGAGGAGGAUGAAGACCAUUAUGAUGACCCACUUCCACUUAAUGAACUGGCUCCUAUCUUUUGGUAUGACUCCCGCACAUGCAAACCUGCCUCUCAUCUCAUCAUCCUAGAAUGGGAAAGAAUGGUAGCAAGAGAGAACAAUGUAAUUACUGCUGUAAUUCUUAAUAAUCUGCCUUUGCCCUGAAAUCUU
rnacentral:lncRNA from 10 species